rnacentral:rRNA from 1 species
UGAGCAAUCUGCCCUUCACAUCGGAAUAACCAUUGGAAACGAUGGCUAAUACCGAAUAUGACUUCGGAUCGCAUGAUCUGAAGUGGAAAGCUCCGGCGGUGAAGGAUGAGCUCGCAGCCUAUCAGCUUGUUGGUGAGGUAAUAGCUCACCAAGGCGAUGACGGGUAGCCGGCCUGAGAGGGUGACCGGCCACACUGGGACUGAGACUGGCCCAG